CCUGUGUUCGUCAUGCUCAGUGUUUAUCUGAUAAACACCAAGGAAUGUGCAGCAGUGAACGUUAGAAACUGAUCAGACUUGAGUGUCUGGUUUGCAGUGACUCGUUAAUCAUUGUCUCAGUUCCUGUUUCCUGCUCAGCUACAACGAUUCAUUUCACUUUAACAGCAACAGUUUGGAUCACUGUGUCUUUAUCUGUGACAUCUAGAAUGAGUCCUAUAAAGAUUAAACAUCUCUUGGUUUUGCAUCAUGUUGUUGCCGUCCUCCUUUUUCUAACACAAUCUUGUGGUGGUCAGCAUCAGAUGAUUGGUCCAACUCAGCCAGUAGU